CGGGACCUCAAGCCGCAGAACAUCUUCCUGACAAAGGACCACCGUA
rnacentral:tRNA from 1 species